CAUUUCUUCUGCCUAAGAGGUUGAAAUGGAGGAGAGACAGCCUCCUGCUCUCUUGCCUCCUAGUUCCUAGGCACAUUCUCUUGGACUCUGUAGAAGACAACCUGGCAAAAAAUGCUUUAAUAUCAAGUUAUGAGCACCUUAGUGCUUAGUAAAGAGGACUGUCUCAGCAGGGAAUGCUGCUGAAUCUCUUGUUUCCUGGGCAAGAUCAGCUAUUCUUGCUUGUUAGAAAGGCAAUAUUGCCCUUUCAAAACUAGGAGUAUUAAUCCUCUGGCAAAAUCCCACUUUCCUUUACCUGCCUACUCCUAACUGGAUAUGUUUUUGAGUUGCCUCAACUUCUUCCCUAGCUCAUGUAAUGUUCUAUUGGAAUUGCUGUGCACUAAUGAAUAACUAAUUUUGUUUCUCCAGACAGAGCUGCUGUUGUGUCAGUGGAGUGACACAGUGGCUCAAAAGGAAACUGACACUUGAAAAGAGUUUUUUAAGUACAGGAAAUCAGAGGGUAACAAAUGCACUGAAAAUAGGCAGUGUGGUGCUCAGCAUGUGUGUAUUUAUGGAUGGACCCUCUAAUUAGUUUUGCUGAACAUUUGAAAUCUGCUGCAUAGUUCUAAAUUUAUCACUACUAGAUAGGAGAGAAAUCUGGGAGAGAAAAAGUCUUUUUGUCUGUUGGCCCAUAGUUCACUUGCAGAUCUUUGUUCUGAUAGGUAUUUUAAUUUCCAGUAUUAAUAAAAAAGAGGUAUUUGCUGCUCUUCUCUUUUAUAAGGGUACUAAAGAAGUAAUCAUCACUUUGUAACUGUAAGAUUGUUGUUAACUUUAUGGCAGAGAAUGGUUUAGCUGAAAUUAAAGUCACCCACAUGACUGUAAACAUCCAUCAGUUAAUUUCAUUUUCCAGGACUGGGAUCUUAUGAAAACACAUUUUGCUUGAGAUAAUUUGUAUCUCCUGCCAUUCUGAUGCCUUUGAAACCUUCAAACACAACCUUUGGCCGUGUGUCCAGUGAGAGCAGCAUGGACAGGGCACAGCUGCAGAGGGAGCAAACCAUAUGUAUGUUGGGGAACUGGUGGCUGGCUUUUCAGGCUGGGCUGUGGGCAGCAGGAGGGCUCAGUGUUCAAACCCCUGGCUCUAGAGGUUCCCUAGGCAGAUUAAGAAGGUGUUGGAAUGAUACCAACUUCUGUCUGACCCUGAUUCUUGUUGCCUCUGCUGUUUUGGCAGGUUGGACAAAGCCCUUAAUGUGUGGCUGUGUUUAUUGUAUGUUGCCUGUGUUGCUGAGUUGGUGUGAGACAAUGUGUGGUUACUGCAGUGAUGUAGGAAAAGCUUUUAUCAUUUCAGAUGAUGGUCAGAUCAGGUUGUGGGGACCAGGAAUGGAGCAUCUGGUUUUGUGAGAGCCAUUCCUUCAGUGGCAGCUCCAUCCCUGUAAGAUCCUUCUGCAGUGCAGAGUUCCCUUCCUGGACACUCAGUGCACAUGGAGAGAGUUCAUCAUCAUGAAGUCCAGUCUGUUUUCUGAUGAUUUUCUGUCUGAAAUUGUCCACAAUAAAAGUAAUUUGUGAA